UCACCUCCCGGCCGCCGCUGCUUCCUCGCGGAGCGGGGCUCGCGGACCCGGGGGACCGGAAACAGGGCGGCGGGCGGGGAGCAGGCCGGCGAGCCAGAGACGUUGGCAAACACCCCGAAGCCGAGAUGCAGCCUUUACUUCAAAUAAAAUAGGAAAAUAAAAUCCUCAGCUGGCCGCCCCGCUGGGGCUAGGUGACGUGCGAGAUUCCACAGCCCGCGGGCCUCGCAGCAGGGAGGUUUUCCCCUCCAAUCCUAGGCUCAACUCCGAAUGGAUUGGAUUUCGAGUUUGCACGUGAGAAAACCGUUUGGCUUUGCUCAGACCCCUCCGUCUCCCCCACACACCUAAUCCAGGGGUCCGGGGUAUCAGCCUUUGCUGGCAACUCUAAAAGAAGUUACCCACUUCCUGCAUAGCAAUACAGGAUUGAAAUAAUUCCUCUAGAUGAAAGAUCAAUUCCAUUUCUAAACCAGAAUAGAUUCCUUUUUCAUUUUCCCCACAUGGUACAAAAUAAACACAAUUUGCUUUUAAA